AUGUAUCUCAGGAGCCUGCACCUUUCAAAGAAGAUAAACAGUCUACAAAUCAGUUGUCUCUCUUCAGUUUCCCUAAAGACAGAAGUUAUCACAUCUCCUCAGUUAAACAUACUGUUAGCAAAAGCAAGAACAUACGUAGAUCACACAUACAUAUAUGGAAUGCUUUGCAAUUACAGCCCAAGUGUUUGUUUCUUAGACAAAUAUGCAGGAAAAGGCAAAAGGGUCUUCUGGUAUUUAAGGCAUGAAUCAAAUCAUCCCCAAGGGCUGGAGGCUGCAAGGGGCAUCAGUAACCAGGCCAUACAAAUUUGGAAGGGUGCACACCCUUGGGCGGAGAGGAACCUCAUGAAGUUCAACAAAGGGAAGUGCAGGGUCCUGCACCUARGGAGGGAUAACCCCAUGCACCAGUAUAGACUGGGAGUUGACCUGCUGCAAAGCAGCUCUGCAGAGAAGGACCUGGGAGUGUUGGUGGACAACAAGGUGACCAUGAGCCAGCAACGUGCCCUUGUGGCCAAGAAGGCCAAUAGUAUCCUGGGGUGCAUCAGGAAGAGUGUUGCCAGCAGGUCGAGGGAGGUGAUUCUCCCCCUCUACUCAGCCCUGGUGAGGCCACAUCUGGAGUACUGCGUCCAGUUCUGGGCUCCCCAGUACAAGAGGGAUGUGGCACUACUGGAGCAAGUCCAGCGAAGGGCCACAAAGAUGAUGAGGGGACUGGAGCAUCUCUCUUAUGAGGAAAGGCUGAGAGAGCUGGGCCUGUUUAGCUUGGAGAAGAGAAGACAGAGAGGGGAUCUUUGUGUACAAGUAUCUGAAGGGAGGGUGUCAAGAGGAUGGGGCCAGACUCUUCUCAGUGGUGCCCAGCGACAGGACGCGAGGCAAUGGGCACAACCUGAAACACAGACACUUCCAUCUGAAUAUGAGGAAAAACUUCUUCACUGUGAGGGUGACAGAGCACUGGAACAGGUUGCCCAGGGAGGUUGUGGCGUCUCCUUCUCUGGAGAUAUUCAAAACCCUCCUGGACGCAAUCCUGUGCAAUGUGCUCUAGGUGACCCUGCUUGA
rnacentral:lncRNA from 1 species